AGGGAGAGAAAAAGGAAGAGCCCUAGAAUUUUCCAUGAAAAAUUCAUUUUUUGUAGUUAUUGUAAUUAUUAUUCCUAGAGAAAAUUAGAGAAAUUGAAGUGUGGUAUUGAAGAAUAUUUUACCUUCUAUUAUUAGGGAUACCAUGGAAGAAUUACUUGGUAAAUAUUAUUAUUCCCAAAUCAUCAGGAUCCAUGAGGCCGAAGAUCAUGAAAGUGCCAUUUGUAUUCCCCCUAUCGAGGAGCAUGGAAUAUUUUAUUUUACAUGUGUAAUAAUACAAUUGCUCAACUUAGAGGGACUUUUUGGGUGUGAGGCACAUGAAGCCUGAACGUCCACUUAAAUGGCUUCAUGGAAGUCUAUGCUCCAUUCAAUGAUGCAUAUAUAUCCCAAAAGUGUAAUCAAGUUAUGCCUUUUCCCACUCUCACUCAUGAGAAAGGUAGUGUUAUGGCUAA